rnacentral:lncRNA from 1 species
CUAGAAUUUGGACCUUUGUGGAAUUUUUAAUCUCAUCCUUGGACCUUCUUGCACGUGUGACAUGUGCCUCUUCCCAGCACCCAAGUGAUUUGACUCUCCUUAUGUGGGCCCAGCCCACAGAAGGGAUUAUGACAUAUCACUGAACCCAGUAGCUAGGUGAUGUGACUCUACUCUUUCCUUGACAAUGUCCACAGGGGCAUUGUGACAUACUGGUAGGCCUUGCCCCCCAGGUGAUGUGAGUCUCAUGUUCUGCCUUGGUGAUGUCUACAGGAAGCAUUGUGACAUAUCGCUGGACUCAACACCAAGGUGAUGUCACUUUUUUGCCUUAGCUCUGCCUUCAAAAGGCACUAUUACAAAUUACUUGGACUAUUACCAAGGUGAGUUGAGUUUCUUGCUUGGACCGUCCCCACAGUAGGCAUUGUGACAUAUCACCUGGAAAAUGUGACUCUUCACCUCUGCCUACACCCUGACCACAGAAAGAAUUUUGACAUAUCACUGGAUCCAGAAACCAGAUGAUGUGUUUCUUUUGCCAGGACCUGGGUCAUAGAAAAUAUUGUGACUUAUCUGUGGGUCUCUUACCUAGGUGAUGUGACUCACUCUCUUGCCUGGGGCCUUCACUCAGAGGGUAUUGUGACAUAUUGCUGGACCAAGCAUUUAGGUGAUGUGACUUUCUCAACAUCUUGGACUCUGACCAAUAAGGAAUUUGUAUGUGUUGAUGUGCGCUGCAUCCAGGUGAUGUGACUCUCCUCUCCUGCCUGGGCCCUGCACAUAUUGUGUGUUGUGACAUGUUGCAUGUUAUCACACCUAGGUGAUGCUACUUUCUCGCAUAAGUCCUGCUCACAGAGGCAUUACGAUAUAUUUUUUAUGUCUAUUUCCUACGUGAUGUGUCUCUCCUCUUCUGCCGGUCUUGCCAAAAGUGGGGAUUGUGACAUAUUACUGGACACAGAUUCUAGGUAACAUGACACUCCUCUUUUGUCUGGGCCCUGGAUAUUUAGGGUAUUGUGACGUAUUUUUGCACUAAACAUCUAGAAAAUAAAAGGCUCCUGCCUGGGCCUUGCCCACAGGAGGCCUGUGACAUAUCUCUACAUCUAUCAUUUAGGAAAUGUGACUCUCCUCUUUGGCCUGCACCCUGUGCACAGGGGAGAUGGUGACACAUCACUGAGCCUGCUCAGCAGGUGAUAUAACUCUCUUUUCCUGCCUGGCCCCCACGUAUAUUGUGUAUUGUGAAAUGUGGCUGGGUCCAACACCUAGGUGACGUGACUCUCCUGCAUGGGUCCUGCCCACAAGGUUAUUAUGGUGUGUCUUUUGUUCAUCACUAGGUAUUUCAAAUUUUGUCUUCUGCCUAGGCCAUGCCAAAAAAAAAAAAAAAAAGUACUGUGACACAUCACUGGAGCCAGCAGUAGGUAAUGUGCCUUUGCUGAUUGGGUCUAGCCACAGAAGACUUUGUGACAUAUCGUUAGGCCCAGCAACCAGGUGAAGACACUCUGCUGCCUUAGUCCUGCUUUCAGGAGGGGAUUAUACCAUAUCCCUGGCUGAAAACACAGGUACUGUGACUCUCUUGCUGGUCCCUACUCUCAGGAAAAAUUAUGACAUAACCCUAGCCCAGCAACAACGUGAUAUGACUCUCCUGCCUGGUCACUGCCCUCAGAGACGGUUGCAAAUAUCUCUGGCACAGCACCCAGAUGGUGUGAUUCUCCUGCUCACUCCCUCCUUACCCAAUUGUGGGACUGUCAUAUAUAUCUUAGUUCAGUUUACAGGUGUCACAAUGACUCUCAUAACUUGAGCCAGCCAAUAUGAAAGAUACUAUCUCUCUUAGCUGGGCUUAGGAAAAUGGGUCAAAUCUAGGUCUCAUUUUUGUAUGAAGGUCAUAGAGAAUUAACCACUGUCUCGCAUUUCAUAGAAAGUCCUUGGGUGAUACAGAGAGUGUCAACACAGAGUCCAAGACACAGGUGAGGUUUUGUUUCUCAUCAUUUUCUCACUUGAACAAAGCCCAUUAUUGAGGUCCUGAAUCUUAUAGGUGGACACAGUCUAGAGUUGAGAUUGUGACUAUCAUACAUAAACAUGUAAGCACAGUUGGGAUGAUGACUCAUUUUAAGGUCAGCUCAUAGGAAGGUGAACAUUCUUCAUUCUGGACUCAGCUAAUUGGAGAGAUGUUGACUCUCAUACUUGGGCUUAAGGCCACAGGUACAAUCAUGAUUCAUACCAGCACAAAUGUCUCAGAGCAGAUUGAGAAUCUCAUGCAUCAGGUAUAAAGCCCUAGGGUGAUACAUAGGUGAGAUUGUGAGACUCACCAAGUCGACAGAAAAGAUUGUCAUCUUCCCACAUGAACACAGCCCAUUGUUAAGGCUCUGGAUUUCACAACCAAAAGCAGUCAAAUGUUGGAAAAUUGACUCUUAUAUGUGAAUCUGGUCCACAGGUAGGCAGGUGAUUCUAAGACCAAUAUUCAGCACACCUGUGAAGCUGUAACUUCACCCAGAUAAAACAGCACACAGGAAAGAUUGUGCCUCUCAUGCACAGAUCCAGUUUAUUGUUGAGAUGAACUCAUGUACUUAGACCCAACAUAUAUGAGGUGUUAACUCACAUACUUAGAAACAGGACAUGGCUGGAUUGUAAAUAUCAUUCUAUGACUUUCCUACAGGUGUAAAUGUGAUAUAUGCCUCUGGCCAGCACCUGAGUGAUUUGACCUACAGUCUGGGACCAGCCCACAUACAGGAUUGUGACUUAUUUUUGGACCCAGCACCUAGGUGAUGUGACUCUAUUAUCCUGCCUUGGUGCUGCCCACAGGGCACAUUGUUGGAACUCACUUCUCCUGCCUGGUUCCUGCUCACAGGGGGGAUUGUGACCUGUGACUAACCCAGCACCUAGCUGAUGUGACUCCUCUUCUUUUUAUGUUCUUCCCUCAGGGGAGACUGUGAUGUAUCAGUGGGCCCGGAAGCCAGGUGAUGUGUCUCUCCUUCAUGUUCCUUGCUAACAGAGAACAUUGUAAUUUACUGCUGGGCUUGGCAUCCAGGUGAGGUGACUUUGCUGCCCGUGUCCUGCUUUCAGGAGGGGAUUGUAACAUUUAUCUCUGGCCCAGGAGAUGUGACACAUUUUUGUUGCCUGGGACCUGCCAAAUAAGAAGAUUGUGACAUAUCACUUGACCCAGCAUCUAGGUAAGACUGUGACAUAUAUCUUGGUCCAACUAACAGUUGCAAUAACGACUCUCAUGCCACACAUCAGCCAAUAGAAAGGAUACUGUCAGUUUUAGCUGGGAUUAGAGAAAAGGGUAAGAUCCCAUGUCUCCUCUUUGUAUGAAGGUUAUAGAAAAUUACCACUUUCUCAUACAUGGUGUAAAUCCCUAGUGUGGAACAGAAUGCCAUCACAGAGCCCAGCAUCCAAAUGAGAUUGGGUUUCUCAUAUUCUUACACUACCAUCCAUUGGGAUUUUCACCCUUACACGUGGACAGAGCCCACAGGUGAGGUCCUGAAUCUCACAGGUCGACACAGACCACAGCUGGAAUUGUUUCCGUCAACACAGACCACAGCUGGAAUUGUUUCCGUCAUAUGCUACAGUUGGGAUGGUGACUCAUUUCUUUUCUUUUCUUUUUUUUUUUUGAGGCGGAGUCUCGCUCUGUCGCCCAGGCUGGAGUGC